rnacentral:rRNA from 1 species
AUGAGGCUAAUAGUGUGGAAUUGCCGGGGGUUGGGGAACGGCCCGGCGAUUCAAGGUCUUCUAGAUCUCCAGAAGGAGGACCCUGACGUUAUGUUUUUGUCGGAAACAAAGAUGGAGCAGCGCAGGUUGGAGUGGCUUCGGUGGAAGAUGAACAUGACUUGUAUGAUCGUAAAAAAUUGGGAGGGACGGUGUGGGGGCCUAGCUUUGUUUUGGAAGAAGGAAGUAAACCUAAGGGUCGUCGGCUUCAUGUCCAAGUACCAUAUUGACUCAGAGAUAUUAGAGGAUGAUGGGUUUAAAUGGAGGUUCACAGGUAUCUAUGGAGAGCCAAAGCUGGAAGAGAAGGAAAAAACAUGGAGACUGCUAAGGAACCUCAAACACCAAAACAACAAACCCUGGCUGUGCGCUAGAGAUUUUAAUGAGGUUCUGCAUAAUUGGGAGAAAGAAGGGGGAGUGCCCGGAAGUCAAAGAUACAUGGACCGAUUUAAGUCAGCAUUGGAAGAUUGUGAGAUGGGUGAUCUGGGGUUUGCCGGUGAUGCUUUUACAUGGAGAAAUAACAGCCACACAACAUCAGACUAUAUCAAGGAGCGGCUUGAUAGAGCGGUGGCCACUCAGUCCUGGUGCCAUCGUUUUAUGGCCUAUCGGGUUAAUAACGGUGAUCCCCGCCAUUCGGACCAUAGACCAGUGAUAAUUGAUACGAUGGGUGCAGCAGCUGGAAGGAGGAGCUCUAGUAUGAAUGGUGUGCCUCGGUUUGAAGCAGGCUAG